rnacentral:rRNA from 1 species
CCUACGGGCGGCAGCAGUGAGGAAUAUUGGUCAAUGGUCGUAAGACUGAACCAGCCAAGUAGCGUGCAGGCUGACGGCCCUAUGGGUUGUAAACUGCUUUUAUGCGGGUAUAAAGUGCAUCACGUGUGAUGUUUUGUAGGUACCGCAUGAAUAAGGACCGGCUAAUUCCGUGCCAGCAGCCGCGGUAAUACGGAAGGUCCGGGCGUUAUCCGGAUUUAUUGGGUUUAAAGGGAGCGUAGGCCGCAUGUUAAGCGUGCCGUGAAAUGCCCGGGCUCAACCCGGGCAUUGCGGCGCGAACUGGCGUGCUUGAGUCCGCGGAAAGCAGGCGGAAUUCGUGGUGUAGCGGUGAAAUGCUUAGAUAUGACGAAGAACCCCGAUUGCGAAGGCAGCUUGCUGCAGCGGAACUGACGCUGAUGCUCGAAGGCGCGGGUAUCGAACAGGAUUAGAUACCCCUGUAGUC